ACUCAAAUGAAUUGACGGGGGCCCGCACAAGCAGCGGAGCAUGUGGUUUAAUUCGACGCAACGCGAAGAACCUUACCAGGGCUUGACAUCCCCCGAAUUGCAUGGAAACAUGCAAGCCCUUCGGGGCGGGGAGACAGGUGGUGCAUGGUUGUCGUCAGCUCGUGUCGUGAGAUGUUGGGUUAAGUCCCGCAACGAGCGCAACCCUUGUGUUCAGUUACUAACGCGUAAAGGCGAGGACUCUGGAUAGACUGCCGGGGACAACUCGGAGGAAGGUGGGGACGACGUCAAAUCAUCAUGCCCCUUAUGUCCUGGGCUACACACGUGCUACAAUGGCCACAACAAAGAGAAGCGAAGUCGUAAGGCGGAGCGGAUCUCAAAAAAGUGGUCCCAGUUCGGACCGUGGGCUGCAACCCGCCCACGCGAAGUCGGAGUUGCUAGUAAUCGCGGAUCAGCAUGCCGCGGUGAAUACGUUCCCGGGCCUUGUACACACCGCCCGU
rnacentral:rRNA from 1 species